GGGUGGCGGCACAGUGGGGUCACUACACAAGGGCCUGCCUCGCGUUUUGUUUCCAAAAUACUGCUGGGGCGGGAUCAGACGUGUGCUCGGAGCGCGCGGGAAGAGCGGCGGUUUCUGGAGAAUUCUUGGCUGGCUCUUCAGCCUUUGCCUGCUCUGCUCCUGCACAGUCACCCCGGCGGCGACAGCGGCGGGCAGACCGGGUCCCCCCCGCCCGGCGUCUGCGCGCCUCUCCGGGGGAGGGCCGGGCUGGCCCCACAGCUAUUAAGACCCGCAGCUGCCGGGGCGGCACCGGGGCGCGUUUCAAGUGAGCUCGAGGGAAAUGAGGGGCUUGCAGCCGGCCGCCUGCUUAUCCGCUCUCGCCGCCUGAAAGGCGACUCCGGGAGCGCGCGCCGUCCCUCCGACUGCCCGGGCGAGCUGGGGGAGCGCGCGCCCUUCGGGAACCCCCGGCAAGGAUACGCAAGCACCAGGCAACCGUGUGUGUCCAUGAGCAGAAGGGAAGCAGGCAGCACCACUCUGUACCCACAAGAGCAUCCUUGCUGGAGGUGGAGCAACAGGAGAGCUGGACACGGGGUGCAGCAAAUGCACGGGCAGAAGGGAUCCAGGCAGAUACCACGGGCAAGUCACUGUGGCACAAGACCGCCAAGGGGAUGCUGA
rnacentral:lncRNA from 1 species